rnacentral:tRNA from 1 species
GUUUAAGUAGCUUAAAAUAUUUUUAAAGCUUAAUAUUGAAGAUAUUAUGAUGAGUUUAACUCCUUAAAUA